UUCAUGUCCCACCAACUCAAGUUCAGAAUCAAUCUCAAAAAUGAAUUACCCAUCCAUAGCUGUUUCAAAUAUCAAAGAAAAUGAAACCAAGAAAGUAACCAGAACGGUCACUAAUGUUGCAGAAGAAGAAGCAACCUACGUUGCAAUUAUAAAGGCGCCAACUGGAUUGGAAGUACAAGUGAUUCCAAAUAAAUUGGUAUUUACAAAUAAUAGCAAGAAGUUGAACUAUGAAGUGUCUUUCAAAUCUUGAUUACUAAUGUUGCAGAAGAAGAAGCAACAUACACUGCAAUUAUAAAGGCACCAACUGGAUUGGAAGUUCAAGUGAUUCCAAAUAAAUUGGUAUUUACAAAUAAUAGCAAGAAGUUGAGCUAUGAAGUGUCUUUCAAAUCUUCAUCUAAACCAAAGAGAGACUUGUUUGGAUCAAUUACAUGGACAAAUGGUAAAUACAAAGUUCGAAGUCCAUUCAUUGUAACGACUUACUUAUAAGGUGUCUGAUAACACUCCCAAGCCUGCAGAUCGCCGAUCAAAGUAGUCUAGCAAGUCUGUACGUACUGUUAUACUCCAUGAAUACAACUAUGUUACUACCACAUCAUGUGCAUGCUUAAGAUAGUAAAAAAAAAGAAGAAGAAAGAAAUAAAGUUCAGGGAUAACACACAUGUGCACUAAGUGAGAAAACAAUAUAUAAUUGACCAGUCAUUUAGCAACACAUACCACUAUAUUACAACCUAUUACCCAUGUGUUGUAAUUUGUGAGAAAGCACGGGAGAAAAAUACGAUAUAUUGAUAUUAAACAUGAUACAAUGAGCCCUAUAUCCAUACACAUAACCUAUCCUACUCCUAAUACAUAUUGGAUUAGGGUUAUUUUACUAUUAUUUACAUAAUCUAACACUCCCCCUCCAGCUGGUGCAUAUAAAUCAUAUGUACCGAGCUUGUUACAUAUGUAGUUUAUACGAGGAC
rnacentral:lncRNA from 1 species